UCCGAAUUGGUGUAGUGGCUAACAUUUGGUGCUCUCAUCUCAUACCCUAGAGUGACCCGCCAAGCCCGGGGUUCGAUUCCCCGAUUCGGAG